UACGGAGGAUCCGAGCGUUAUCCGGAUUUAUUGGGUUUAAAGGGUGCGUAGGCGGUUUGAUAAGUUAGAGGUGAAAUGUCGGGGCUCAACCCCGAAACUGCCUCUAAUACUGUUGGACUAGAGAAUAGUUGCGGUAGGCGGAAUGUAUGGUGUAGCGGUGAAAUGCUUAGAGAUCAUACAGAACACCGAUUGCGAAGGUAGCUUACCAAACUAUAUCUGACGUUGAGGCACGAAAGCGUGGGUAGCAAACAGG
rnacentral:rRNA from 1 species